rnacentral:lncRNA from 1 species
GGAGCUGGAAAGGUGGAGGCGGAAGUGACUGAUCAAUUCAGGGGCGUGGGGUUCGUUUAGGUUUUGCCCUGUGUAUGACCUCGUUUGGAGCCAUGAAACCAGGUAUUCGCUCUUUUUGACCAAGCUGGAGUGCAAUGGCGUGAUCUCGGCUCGCUGCAAUCUCUGCCUUCCAGGUUCAAGUGAUUCUCCUGCCUCAGCCUUCUGAGUAGUUGGGAUUACAGGAAGCUCUUCCACGAGUUCACGAAUGGAAAUAACAUCAAGAGUUUUUCAUCUUCUUAGUGUGCAAGGUAUGGAUAUUCUGUGUGUGAACUUCAAGAGUAUCUAAGGGAGGCAAUAACAUGGUUGAUAAUAUACCAGAGACUACAAACUGUCUGUGCAUCCCAGAGGAACAGGAAGCUUGUGCAGGUGAAAAGACUGGAGGAGGAAGUAUGUUGAUGAUACCCAGGAAGCCCACCUUCCACUUCUUUGGUCAUCAGAAGUAAGAAAAAGGACAAUUAAAUAAGUGGUUAAUAGUUGUUUAGAGAAAGAGAAUUUUCACUUUAUAUGCCAGUCAUUGAUAAUAUUUGCCAUAGUGGUUGCUGUUAAGUAAGUUUCUUCCUGCAGGCCUGUGAGAAGGCAUAGUACAUGAAAGUAGCAGUGCUUUCAACCUGAUUAUUAUUAUACAGUAUGGACUUUUAUUAUAUAACAAGCAAUACUUACAUUUUGUUAUUUACUUAUUUAUUACUAUACACUUACACAUAUGCAGACACAGUAAUAAACAUCUAAGUGGUACAAAUAGGUACAAAACCAAAAAUAAAAGUCUGCCUUCUAACUUCAGUAAGAUGUUUCAGUCUCAUCCUGGGUUCUACUGCCUUUAAUAUGCAAUCAGCCACACUUCCCAAGGGGCUUUAGUCCCUUUUGUUAAAAAAUAGUAAUAAAGAUCAAAUCUAGGGGAUAGAAGUAGAGAUUUUAGUAUUUUAUAUGAGAAUUGGGGAUGCAGCAUGCUAAUGAAGCCACCUGAGUUACAGGGCAGACUAUUACUUUUCUUUUUAAAUAACAGGUAACAAUUCUAUAUUGUUAUUUUCAAUUUAACCAAGUUUUUAUUUUAGCACUGAGAGUUUUUAAUCUGAUUUCUCCUUCCUCUGGUAGAUUUGAGGUUAUUUAUUGUCACACCAAAUAGCAUUUUGUCUCCUAUAUUUAGAAGUCUUUUGUUUUUUUUUUUUUUUUUGAGAUGGACUUUUGCUCUUGUUGCCCAGGCUGGAGUACAAUGGCACGAUUUCGGCUCACCACAACCUCCGCCUCCUGGGUUCAAGUGAUUCUCUUGCCUCAGCCUCCUGAGUAGCUUGGAUUACAGGCAUGUGCCACCAUGCCUGGCUAAUUUUGUAUUUUUAGUAGUGACGGGGUUUCUCCAUGUUGGUCAGGCUGGUCUCGGACUCCCGACCUCAGGUGAUCCACCUGCCUCAGCCUCCCAAAAUGCUAGGAUAGAAGUCUUUUCUUACUCUAUUUUUGUCCCUUGCCUCAAGUACCCUAGAAGUGACUACCUACACAACUCCCCUUAUCAGCAUUUUAGAGGAAAGACUAUCUGAAAAGUAAAAUAAAUUCUAUCUUUUCUCACAGAAUUAUAAAGAAUAUACAGGCAAAAGACACCUAAUAUUUCAUAUGGAAUGAUAAACAAUUUGAAGAAAAAAAGGACAAAUCUUUGAGAUUUAGCCUAAAACUAUUUUUUAACUUUGAAUUUCCAUGGACAUUUGUCAACAUUUAUCUUUUAUUUCCAGUAACAUUGGUAUUAAAUUACAGUGAAUAUAUACAAAUAUUUAUUAGCUCAAUAUUAUUUUAUUAGUCCAAUUUUUCAAUUAGAGUCAGAUAAAACUCUAAAUAAAGGUCAAAAAUCAUCAGAAUAUUUUGUAACCCCCAAAUUCAGGUAGAAAAAAUUUCUGUAUAUUAUAUUGUCCCAUUCUACAAGACUCAACUCACAGUAGAUUAUAGCACAUUGGAAUAUAACAUAUUUCAUAUUAAAUAUUAUAUUUAAUCUACAUUUAAAUAUUCUGAAACCUCCCUACUAAUAAUUAUAGAAUUUUUCUGUUUAUUCCUAAUGCUUUUCAUGUUCACAUAAGCCAAAAUCAGAAAAUUCAUCAAGUUUUACCAAUAGAAAUUUUCACCUUUUAUGCGAACACAUGUAUUUGCCUAGAUCAAGGCAUCAUAUGCCUACACUUCCAAAGUUAAUUUGUAUUACCUGCAUAAUCCCCCUAAAAUAAAACCCCAAUUAUUUUAUUCUUAUAAUUUGGUAAAUUGAGCCUCAAAAGCUCCAUUCAUUUAGAAUAUGCAUUUUCCAAAAUCUUGACAGGCCAACCAGGCAAGAUUUGUUGAAAUCUUGACAGGCUGAUUUUGACAAUAAUAAAAAAUUUGUUCUUAAAAUUCUGUGUUGAAUUUUAAGCACCUCUCUAUCACAGGGAUAAUAACUUAAAUGCUUCAGAUUAUCUGUUAGAGACCCUAUAAAACAAUAAUCUCUUUUUUUAUGUGUCCAAUUAACAUCAGAAUCCAUUUAGGGAACAUGCUUCUCUUUGAGGGUCUUGUGAGGCCCUACACCCAGUUUAUUCAAAUGUCACUGCUACAAAGGCGCUGGCCUUACCUUCAGUCUUCUGGGGCAAGGCCUGGCUGCAGACUCAGGACAGCCUGCUUUAUUCUGUUGUACCAGUUCUCCCUGUUGCCCUGCUUGUUCCUUUCCCACAUUUCUGAUGCUAGAUUUCCUAAUAUUGUACUAACUUUGAUCCAGCUUUUUAACUCCUUUUUAUGUUUUCACUCUGCUCAAUAUUAUCCAUUUAACAACACCUCCUAUUCCGUCUACGUAGAAAACUGUUUAUACAGAGAGUAUCUGAAAAGUUGAUAUCUGUAAGUUUAUUUCCAGAAUGACACAUGGUUCCUAAUGAUAUGGAAUUGUAAUGUUGUCAACAUAAUUCAUCCAAAGAGGAUAUAUAAUUUAUUAUCCCAGGCAUAAUUUUGUUUAGAGGAGAUGACUCUUGGAUUGGGCCCACCUGAGUUUAGGAAAAGACUGGCACUGCACUUGUUUCCUCUAUAUCUAUUAAUCUUGGAGAAUUAAGUUUCCUUUAUCUUUUUAUUCAUUUUUAUAGGUAAUUUAGAUGUCAGUGCGAGGCUGCUAUUUCUUAAUAAGAAAGGAAUGGAUGUUUAUCCCUUCAAUAGAAAGUGAAAGAAUGUUUAUGGCAGAGGUUGGGCAAACUAUAACCAGUGGCCCAAAUUCUGCCUUCAGUCUGUUUUUGUGUGGCCUGUGAGCUAAGGAUUUUCUUAAAAUAUAUUUUAAAGAGUUGUAAACACACACACACACAUAAAACAGGGACUGUAUUUGACCUGUGAAGUGCAGAAUAUUUAAAGAAAAUGUUGCAGACCCCUGUCUUAAUAUAACUAUCAUAAAACGAUCAUUUAAAACAUUUUUUAUAUGACAAGUACAUGGGAUUUUGUAUAUGUUAGCUCAUUGAAAUCUUAUAAGAAUCUUAAGUGUAUUAAGAGUUGAAGUAUUCUCCUCAUUUUGGAGAUGAUAAAACUGAGAUGUGAGAGGUUAAUAUCACAUACUUUCUAAAUGCCAGAGAGAAGAUUUACACUAAGACAGUUGGGAACUGGAGCUGGUACUUAUAGCUACCAUAUUAUACUGCAUCUGAAUGUGACCUGACAGUUGUUUGUUUGAGUCUAUCCCACUCCUCAUACUAAUCUGCAAGCAGUCCAAACAGAAUAAUAAUGAGAUUGGCAAGAUACUGCUCAUACACAAAGCAAAGAGUAUACAAGAUUCUUUAAGCAUAUAAAGGGAACCAUGACUGUGCACAAGCUGGCUAUAUACUGCAGCAAACACAGCAACACUACCAGUUAGAUGAGUAAGACACUCUUGCUCUCAAAUUCUCAUGAAGUUCCCUGACUUCCAGUAAUACUACUUGCUCAGGGUGAUGACUCUUCAGGGUACUAUCCUUGAUAGUCUCAGAGGAUUCAUACCUUGUUGGUCCCUCAUGACUUCUCUCUCUAGAGAUUUGCGCUAUGUGCCUGACUGCUUCACAUUUGACAUUACUGUACUUGGUAACACUCUCAAAGUAUUUAUCAGUACUAUGAAAAGACUGAGGAUAUUACAUGUAAAUUCUAGGCCUGUCACCCUUUUGGCAGAUUUGGGCCUCCAGGCCUACUGAAGGCAUAUUCCUGGAAUAGCCAGAUUGCUGUGCUUUCUUCUCUCAGUAUUGGUCUCUGUGCCUAUCAUUUCCAUCAGAGGUUUUGGUCUGUUACGAAAGGAGUUCCUGUCUCUGUUGUAAUUUUCUCCUGCACAUAUCCUGAGUUCUAGAUUCUUCCAUUAUGAUUUCUUUAUUAAUCUGAUUUUACUUCCCUUGGUUUUGCAGCUGUCUGUUAAACUCUUUAACUUGUCAUUGUACUCUAUGUCUUUAUAAGUUUAUUCAUAAUAUAAUUUUAUAGUGUUAUUUCAAGGACACUUUUGGAAGGAAAAGAGAGAUAAACAUAUGUACCAGAUCUAUCAUUCUGAAGUAGAAGCUAUCAAACUUUAUGUGACGAGAAAAUGCAUUUGGGUAUAUACUGAUAGGUUUCCUAUCACUUCAUGCUUUAUUGCAUUUCUUCUCCCAUGUUUUUGAAGCUUUCUAAUCAACUGUGGAAUGAUGGAAAUAAAAGAAUCCAAGAAGCAAUUCUUGAUUUUAAAUUCAAAAAACCAUGGUCCAGGUGUAAAACGGAAAAUAUUUGGACAUAUAUAUAUUUACCAAGACUAGAUAGGAUUCCACGCAAUGGGAAAGGAGAGCAAAUAGGGUGUUUGAGGACAGGAGUGAUAUCCCCGUCAAGAGAUCACCAAGCUCUGUCCAAAGCCAGAAUCCUCUGAGUCUAUUUCCUGGGAGAUACAGGGAACUGAGAUUAUAUCUAGACAUCAUCCAGUCUCUAGUCAAAUGAAUGCCAUACAUUGGCUGGAUUGAGUAGCUGUUAGGAGUCCUAUUUGUUCCCAUCCACGAAGAUCAUCCAUUGACAGUAGUCAAUAAGUGCUUGCUGAUCUUCCAAAGUGUUUGAAGGCUUGAUAUCUCAUUUGGCCAUUAAAUGAUUCAUCCAGAGUGGAUAUACUCAGGUUCAUGGCCUGAGGUGGUUUUAAGUUCCAAAAGUAUUUUUAAGCUCUCUUUGUAAACCAAGAGAGGAAAUGAUGGAGGAGCAGUGAUUAAUCAGAGGCUUCCAGGUAAUAGUGGAAACUAACUAGCAAAUUUUAGAAGAGUUUUAAUUAUAUUUAUGAAGGCUUGGACAGGUAUAGGAGAAACAAGGGUAGUAUUGUACCCCAUGGCUAGUAGCAGCAGAGCUUUACCAUCCUGACACCUCAAAGGUCAAGGGAAGAGAUUGGUUCCCAGAACUUUGAGAGGGUACCCAGAACCUUGAGAGGGAACCAUGAAUAGGGAUGACUGACAAGAGCUGUGUCUUCAGCAUCCUGACCUCAUUCUUCUCUCACUCUCAGACUCUCCUACAGUUGCCUCUCAUUAGGAUUGCUGUCAAAACUUGUACUAGUUCAUAUGUUUAUUUUAGAAAAGAGUCAUCAUACAACUACAAAAUACAUUCUUCCUCAUGAAAUUUGAUCUUAGAACAGUCCUUCUCAAACUUUGGUAAGAGAACAGCUGUUAAAUUUCAAAUUUCCUGAGAAAUGAUACUUUCGUAAAGUAGAAUAAAAGUUAAUAACUCAAAAAUAAAAUAAAAAUAAAGAAGCAUGCAAAAUGCAAAAUGCCUCAAUUAUUCCAAUAUUUAAUUAUUCAAUUCAUAGACAUAAAAUUACUCUGCCAAAAUGCCACAAAACUUCUGUACUUACAUUGUUUGGAAACAAGCAGGCCACAGACUGGCACUGUCUUGCAUGUCACCUCUUUAUUAACAUAAUCCAGACCACUCAAUAAUGGUGCCAAAUGUGAUAUAUAGCUGAAAAUAUUAAACAAAAUAAAACAAAACAACAAAAAUGGGGACAGAAGCAGCUUCACCAAAAGAUAAUUAUGGAUUUUUUGGAAACUAUUAAAAAAUGACAGAGUCUAUUGGUUUAAUAUGGCAUAAAUUAGUAUUUUCCAGACUGGUGGAAUAUUGAUCCCUACAGGUGCUCCAUGACUUAAGAAUUGCAAGGUCAAAUACCACUGGGAAAUAUCCCCAAUGUUCACAGUACACAUUUGCAUAUUAAAGAUUCUGAGCCAUCUAGUAGUUAAUAAACAUUUUUUAAAAUCCAGCAUUUCUCAAGUGUAUUUGACUAAUCCAUUUUUUUUCAUGUAAUACUUACUAACAUCUUUUGUAACUUUACAAAAUGCUGGUAUACAUGUAUUUCUGCCUAAUGAGGUAAACUAAAUGAUUUCUCUUGACAGUAUUCCUAAUUUUAUGAUUCUAAGAAACGUUCCGAAUUGGACUUGCCAUUCAAUAAGGCCAAUUUAAAAAACUGCCUUGGGUAAACUUUCAGUUUCGAAGUUGUUAUUCUAUGCUUUGUUGCUGCUCUAUAUUAGAGAGUGAGGAACUGUGUCAAAAGUCAUUCUUAAUGAAGCCAUUUUCUAAUUUUAAGUUAUCUUUUGCUUUUCAUAUUUACCUAUGGUAUUCUGGAAACUUGUGAUUUAGAGGAAAACUUAGCAUACAUUACUAAAUACUUGGCUGCUGCAGUGCCUCAUAUAUGUCAAGUUCUAAAAAUUUAUAAUUUUACAAAUAUCUGUAAACAACAGUAUUGUAGCAUUAAUAGAGAAGAAUAAUUCAUUUUGAUUUCACUGGGCAUGUAUCAACACAUGACUUAACUAUGAAAAAUAAUUGUAUUUAGCUCAAGUGGGAAUUGAGGGUAAAGAUUUUAGCUCUUCUGACCUUUGUGACAAUAUUACAAAUGAAAUACACAAUCAAUGGGGGAAAAAUCAGAGGCUACUUGGCCCAAAUUCUGCUAGUUAUUUAUUAUUUAAUACCCGAAUUUUUUGAGGGCAGAGAGCUAAUUUGAAAUCCUUCAAUAUGUCUCUCUCUUAGUCCAUUUUGUGCUACAAUAACAGAAUACCUGAGACUAUAUAAUUUGUAAAGAACAGAAAUUUAUUUAUUAUGCUUCUGGAGGCUGGGGAGUCUAAGAUCAAGGUGCCAACAGGUUUGGUGUCUGGUAAAGGCCUGGUUUUCACUUACAAGGGGACGUAUUGAACACUGCAUCCUCUGGAGGGGAAGAACAGUGUUCCUCACAUGGCAGAAAAGCAGAAAAGCAAAGAGAGACAAUCUACUCCAAAAAAAACCCUUUUUAAUUAUUUACUUGAGAUGAGUCUGACUCUGUCACCCAGGCUGGAGUGCAGUGGUAUGAUAGUAGCUCACUAUAGCCUCACACUCCUGUGUUCAAGGGGUCCUCCUGCCUCAGCCUUUCAAGUAGCUGGGACUACAGGCAUAUACUACCAAUACUAGCUAAUUUUUUUAAAUUAAAACGUUUUAUUUUUAGGGACAAAAUCUCUCUAUGUUGCUCAGGCUGGUUUUGAACUCCUAGCCUCAAGUGAUCCUCCUGCCUCAGCCUCCCCAGUAGUUGGAAUUAUAGAUACAAAACACUGCACCCAGUUCAAAGCCCUUUGUGAAAGGUAUUCAACCCACUCAUAAGUGCAGAACUCUCAUGACCUAAUCACCUCUUAAAUAUCAUUACCUUGGCGAUUAAAUUUUGAUGUUUUGGAGGGGACAAACAUUUAAAGCAUAGCAGUCUCUUUUGCUAUCUAUAGUCUAAACAAGAAGUUCUCUCUUUAGUAUUUUUCAUUUUGUUUUCUAAAUAUUAAAUUUCUCCCUUGUUCAGAAAAGUCAUUUAAGAGGAAUAAAAAUCUAUCACUUCAUUGAUACUUAAGUAAUACAUCUGAUGCAUUAGGCAUCUGGAAACAUGAAGAGAAUGGAUUUUCUUCUUUUCCUAUUACCAUAGGAAGCAAUAGUAAGUUAACUUACCUACCAAAGUUCUCAAUAUGUGAAAUAUCUAUGGAUAUGUGAAACCUUUAGUCGAAAAGGGUGCAGAAUCACAUGGCAAUGAUGAGACCAGUUCUAUGACACAUGAAUGGUAACAUUUUAUAGGGAGAAAUGAUCACUCUUAAAGGGUAAGACAGUGUAAUGGUUAAAAGAAGUAGUAUAAUGGUGAAUGUUUAAUAACUAGCCUGGGGGGUGGAGGUGGAAGGUACUUAGUAGAAUGUUUGCUAAUUUCCAUGGUAUAAGUACUUUCAUCAUGGUCACUUUCAAGUUAUAAACAUGAUGUCACCAAACACAGAGUUAGGAAAAGAUGUGCCCACCAUUAUAUAAUGUUUCCACCAUACAGAUAAAAUAGACACAGAUGAACUCAAAAGCAUUAAUAAUAGUACAGUAAAGUUAGAUACUUAGGCAGUAAUGUGUUUUGAAUAUUUAUUGUAAGCUUACAUAAUUUAACUUUUGCCAAUGGCUUUUGCUAUGGUUUGAAUGUGCCCUCUAAAAAUUGUGCUGAAAAUUAAUCCCCAGUGUGGUAGUAUUGAGAACUAAGGCCAUUAACCCAUUAACCUAUUAAUCCAUUAAUGGGUUAUCAUGAAAGUGGAACUAGUGGCUUUUUAAGAAGAGGAAGAGAGACUGAGCUGGUACAUUACCACGCUCAGCAUGCUCACCAUGUAAUAUUUCGCACUCUCUCCGGACUCUACAGAGUCCCUACCACAAGAAGGUUCUCACCAGAUGUGGCCCCUUCCCCUUGGACUUCUCAGCCUCUUUAACUAUUAAGAGAUAAUACAAAAAAGUACCCGGUUUCAGUUAUUCUGUUAUAAACAGCAGAAAACAGUCUAAUACAGCUAUGUUUAACAAUCAGCUGAAAAAUACUCUGAACAUUUAAUAAUUGUCUCUUGUAAGCUGAUACAAGUUGUCUCCCACACAUCACUGGGUAAGAAUAUAAGGUUUAAAGUUAGAUCUGAAUUUGAUUCCUUGCUCUGCCACUUAAAACUGUUGACCAUGUGAAGUUUAUGUUUAUUCUCUAUGCCUUAGUAUUUUCGGAUGAAUGAUAAGGGUAAAAAUUAUAUCUACUUCGAAUAGUUGUUGUGAGGAUUAAAUAAGAUUGAUAGCCUCCUCUUCCCCCAGGGAGGAAGGCCUCCAUGGCUAAAAAUUUCAUAAGGACCCUGUUAGAACUGUGAUUACAAAGCAUCUUUCUUUUUUUUAACUAAAGGAGAAGCUAUUAAGAGGAAUAUGCUCUGUUCUACAUAAUGAUGUAAUUUGCAUAAUUUAAGGGAGAACAGGCAGGUUUCUUUAAAGGGUUCAGACACUACUAUCAUUGAAACUGUAUUAGCCCAUUCUCACACUACUAUGAAGAAAUACCCAAGAAUGGACAAUGUAUCAAGAAAAGAAGUUUAAUUGACUUACAUUUCAUAUGGCUGGAGAGGCCUCAGAAAACUUACAGUCAUGGCAGGAGGCACCUCUUCACAGGGCGGCAAAAGAGAGAAUGAAUGCCAAGUCAAAGGGAAAGCCCCUUAUAAAACAGUCAGAUCUUGUGAGAACUCACUCAUUAUAAUGAGAACAGCAUGGAAGAAAUUGCCCUCAUGAUUUAAUUAUCUUCACCUGGUCACCCUUGACACAUGGGGAUUAUUACAAUUCAAAGUGAGAUUUAGGUGGGGACACAGAGCAAAACCAUAUCAAUUUCCUUUGGAUAUGUGCAGUUUAGUUCCAACAAGCAUUCCUCCUUCCUUUAGUGGUAAAUUUGCAAACAAGAUCCUAUUUCUUGGAGAGCUUUUACAUACCCUAGAAUAUCUUAUGGGACUUGUAGGCCAAAACCUCUUCCUUGUUUUCUCCUUUAUGGACUCCAUGGAAGACAAUAAAAAUGGGUGGAGACAUCACAGGUCACCUUAAAAAAAGGGAGUAAUUUAGAAGACAGGCAUAAAUAUAAGGACAGGGAACAAGAAUAGGAACUUGGAAUCCAUACACAAAGAAUCCCCAUAUGAAGGAUUUGGACUUUGUGACAGGUUCUACUGGUUUAUAGCAUUACAUUCUCCAUCUACUUUGUAACCUAGCCAUGCAGUGUUUAAAUGAAUAUUUUUUGUAUACCUACUACGUGUUAUGCACUGUGAAUGGUACUAGGGAUACUAUGGUGAACAAAAAUGUAUAGUCUUUAUCUUCAUUGAGCUCUUAUAUUAGUGAAGACAAAUUAUCAACAACUAAUUAAAGUGACAGAGUAACAAUUCCAAACAAGGAUAAGUGCUGUGAAGAAAAUGAAACGUUAUAAUAGAAAAAAACCAGUUGACUGGGUGAGGGAAUGGAAAUUAAGAAAAUGUCAAUGAGAGAAGUUCUCAUGAAAAUGUAGAUUUAUUUAUUUUUUCUAAGAGCAACAGAAAAUAUUGAAGAAUUUUUAUAGGAAAAGGACAUAACCCUGGGAAUUGUAUGAAGAAUGUAUUAGAGGGGACUGUACUGGAGGCAGAGAGAGUGGAUAGAAAACAACUACAAUAAUCUAAGCAAAAGAUUGUGGUAGGUCAUACUAGUGUGGUGUCAGUAGGGAUAAAAAGUACAGAGAGUCUAGUUCUAUUUUGCUGUUAGGAUCAACAAAAUCAGCUGUUAUGUUGGAAUCAGACACUGGGGAGAGGGAAGAUGACUCCAUUGUUCUUCAGCCUUUAAGUAAACAAUAUGAAACACAAUGUAGGGGCCAAGGGAAAGCUUUCCCAUCACUCUCUAAAGGUUCUUUGCAAGUGAACUAACAAUUGACAUAUUAAUAGGAGAAAAGGCUUACAAAUUUAUUUAAGUGUGUAAGUAUUGUAUAAGUAUGAAGAAUUCCAUCAUGGAAUGAUUACCCAAUAACCCAGUGGGGUUCAGAUGUUUACCCAUUCCCUUUGUCAUAGUGAGUAACGUGAUAAUUUUGAAGGUUAGUAAAUAAUUUUAAGGGAGAGUGAAUGGAUCUCAGAGGUAGACAUCAUCUUGUAUAAUUCUCUUUGGGUAUUGAAUGGGACUGGAGAGAAAACAAUAAUUUGAGACAAAGUUCACCAGGACUCUAGGUAUGGUGUUUUAAUUUUCAAUUUCUUUCUCUGUGAUAUGAAUUUUAAUCUUCUCUGGUUAAUUAAAUUUCAGGGAACGGAUUGAAGGCAGUCCGUUUGGGAGUCUAGUUUAUAAGCAGACAAGGGAACUUCAGAGAUCAGCCUCAUCCUGUGCUUUGGGAGAGAAAGAGAAUUGAGAGACAGGAGUGGUAUGGAGGAAUCAGAGAGAACUUAAGGCUGCUUCCUUGGUUCAGCAUGUCAAAAUUCCAUAUUGUGGGGGUAAUAUGGUUUAGCUCUGUGUCCCCACCCAAAUCUCAUGUUGAAUUGUAAUUCCUAAUGUUGGAGGAGGGACCUGGUGGGAGGUGAUUGAAUCAUGGGGGCAGAUUUCUGCCUUGCUGUUCUCAUGAUAUUGAGUAAGUUCUCAUGAAAUCUGAUGGUUUAAAAGUGUCUGGCAUUUCCCUCUUCACUCUGUCUCCUGCUUUGCCAUGGUAAGACAUGCUUGCUUCCUCUUCACCUUCUGCCAUGAUUGUAAGUUUCCUAAGGCCUCCCAGCCAUGCUUCCUGUAAAGCCUGCAGAACUGUGAGUCAAUUAAACCUUUUUUCUUCAAAAAUUAUCCAGUCUCAUGUAGUUCUUUACAGCAAUGUGAGAACAGACUAAUACAGGGUGUACCAUUUUCUGAAUUCCAACAGAACUAUAUAACUUGAUAUGCAGAAGUAUAUUUAAGUGCAUGGUCACCUUCCAAAGCUUUGGGAAAGCAUCUAGGAAAAUCUUACAUGGUCAUAUAUUUGUGUUAAUUUGUGAAAAUGAGACAUAUGUUUACAGUAAUCUCUUCCUCUUUCCAUUCUAACUUUUCUUCCAUCAUACUUCUCAUUUGUUGUGUGGCUAUUGGAUUAGCUGAAGGCACUUUUAGGAUCCAAGCAGGAAGAAUUUGAAAGGAACAUGCACUUAAUUUGGGUUGAGUGCCUUGCAGUUGUAUCCAUGUAUAAUCAAGUUAUUGUGAGGUGUCCUUGUCUUCCAGGAAUACUUCCACCUCCCACGGUGCCAACAUACUCCAUAUUGGUAUAGGGCAAGAAGUUAUGACACAAUAUGAAAGUGUUCCAUACUAUUCAGCUCUGGAAGUACUGCUACAGAAGCAAGAUUUUAAAAGUGGUGCAGGAAGCUAUCUUUGAAAACUCCUUCUAGCUCUCAGAUAUGUGAAAUUAUUUCAGUGACAGAGCUCCCACAAAUAUUUAUUAAUAAUAGAAUAUUUAUAAACUUUUUUUCAUAAAAUUUUUAAGCUCAAUGCAAGUAAGUAGUAUUUAAAAAUGCAAUUCUAAUAUAAUGGCAGGGAAACGUCUUAACAGAAGCCAAAAGUAUAAACUGAGAUGAAGAAAAAUGAUAGAAAUACUAACAUUCCAAAAUUCUUAUGUUACAACACAAGCAAACUAUUCUAAUAUCAAAAUUAUGAACAUAGAGAAAAGAAUCAUAAUAGUGAAAAUACAGAUGACAAAAUGACAUCUCAUUUAAAAGAUUGUAAAAAUCAGGAAACUAUCUCCCAAACAAGAAAUCAAAAAGGAGAAGAAAACUUAAUUUUUAUGAUUAUAAAGGUCAGCAGUUAUUUUAUAUCAACAAAGUUAUUGAGUUCAAUAAGUACUGUGAUUUUUGAUUAUGGUCUUCUUCACUGGGAAAUAAUUUUGUUCAACACUGUUUAAUAAAAAAAAAUUUUGAAAUUGUUUCCAAUAAUUUUUACAGAAAAUCACACAUAACAUAAAAAUGAUACUUGAGCAGACAUUUUGAAAAUAAAAUGAUCAAACUAUUAUGAUACUCUGGCUUGGCUAUUCCAAGACUAAAAGGAUGUAUCUAUUGUUUUAUUUAAGCUGUUUUUUAACAAGAAAGUCAUUACUUACAACAGAUGAGCUUCCAGACCAGAUGUGUAUAAUGAGAACCAUUGAAAGUCAUCAAGACUCCACAGAGCACAAGAAAUCUAUAUUUGUACUUGGAUUACAAGUAAAUCAAUUACAAAUGCCUCUACACUAAUGUCUUCAAUACCAGAUAAGAAACAAAGAACAUUCAGUGUUGUUUUGAAGAGCUUAACAAAAUAUAAUGAGGAUUAAUAAAUUUUUAAGUGAAAGACUUUUGUACUUCAGAGGUAACAGUGAAGAUUGGCUUUCUUCAAAUUUCCAAAUUUGCUCAAUUUUUACAACAACAGUUGGGAAAACAUCAAAAUUAAAAAGGAGUAAGUGUGACAUACCUAAAACAGUUUAGGAAUUCUAAUAAAAGUAAAAUGUCUACAAAAUGAAGUGAUAAACAGACAAACAAAAAGGACACCAAAUAUUAAUCCCUUGUUCUACCUUCUAAACUGGAUACAAAACACUAAUUAAUUAGCAACUAUUGUACUCUCCUGUUUUAACAAAAAAACCUGAUGAGUAUUUUUUUUUUCUGUUGAAAACCACCUAAUUAUCUGUGACUUCAAAUUCAAGAAAAUGAAAGAAGUUCUGGAAAAUGGUAACUUAGUGCUGAAAAACUUUAGCAAUGCACUGUAUGACAAUGCAGUUGUUACGAAAGGUGAAGACAAAGAAGUGCAAGUGCUCUAAAAUUUUAAUAAGUGACCAGAAGAUGUGCCUUGCCAGCUCAUUUCCUUAAUCUUGUCAGAGAAAAAGCUGCUGUGACAGUAGCCAAAAUUGUUGACUGCUUUAGUAUUUUGCAACAGUUAUGUUGUCUUUCAAGAUUCAUCGCAUAGAUAGUGUUUUAAACAAUAGGACAUUUUAAACACAUAUACAACUUAAAUUUUCAUUAAAAAAUCUCAAUGUAACAAGAGGAUCUGCCUAUUCCAGUGUUGCUUGAGGUUUGCAUAAUGGAUAUAAUUAUAUUUUAAGGAUCUAACAUAUUCUUUUUCCUAAAAGUUGGAUAUAUAAAAUGUUUAUCUAAAACGUUGAAGCUUGAGUGUGCCAUUUUAACUGUUCUUCUGAAGACAUUUUGGAAUGUUUCGAUAAAACAAAGGAGAAAUUACAACUCCUGAUUUGGAAGUAUAUACAAAGUACCACAUUUAAUCAUCUUUAAGUUUCCAUUAGGAAUUGAUAGAAAAUUCUGAAAAAAAGGUAAUAGAUUGUGACAUAAAAGUAGUAGGGUUGAAGGGAUGACAUUGCAUUAACAAAAAUUAUUCAGACAUUGCAAAGUAAAUAGAAACAUUUUUUUUCCAGGUAGUUCCAAAAUGUCUUAAAAGGAAGAGAUAAAGUUAAAUUAAAAGUACUGUAUUGGGUAAGUUAUUUGAUUGUUUGAUAAUCCAAUUAUUAAAGAAGAUUGAAUUCUUUUAACACCCUGGGAAAAAUGCUUGAGAGGAAAUGCUGGUAUAAGAGACCAGAAUGUGCCAGCCCCAAUUAUGCCUCUUUGGCAUAAGGACUAAUUUGAAUUGAUUAUUUUGAGAAACAGCAGACACAGGAGAAGCUCUGAAAACAAGAUUAGAAGUUAUACUUUCGUAAAUAAAACAUAAAUUUAUAAACAAAAUCUUCAUUUGUAAGGGUAUCUCCCUCCCUAUAUCAAGAAGAGAAGGAUGACUCUAAAUCACAGUGGAAUCUUCUCAAUGACGAGGACACUGACUUAACUCUGCAAAGCAAACCUUACCCUUGUCUACCACGCUUUUUCUGGUUGCCUCCUCAUAACUGGCCUCUCCCCCACCUGUCUUUCUUUUAUUUCAGCUGAAGAUAGCAGUGUUUAAGCCUGAAUUCUAAGCCACUUCUUUGAAAUUUCCUCAUUUUUUUGUGGGGGGAGGCAUUUCCCAUGUAUAUAUUGGAAUAUAUGUGCUAAUAAACUUGUUUGCUUUCCUCUUUCCUCUUGUUAAUUGUAAUUAUCUUUUGUUACUAGGGCCCCAGGCAAUGAAUAAAAUGAGUAGAAGGAAAAAUAUUUUUUGUUCCCUACACUGGAUUGGCAUACAUGAAGAUAGCAGAGCACUCAUAAUACUCCACUACAGUGAGGACACCAUUAAUAGCAAAAUGGGAAUGAUGCUGUUGAUUCAAAGAAAACUGAAAGUCCCUUGAAAUCCUACAGCUUGUCUAGAAUAGAAACUAGAUAGAACAGAAACUAGAUAAUUUCCAAAUUUUACAAUAAUCUCUAAAAUUUAUAUAACAUAACUGACUUUAUUAAUAAUUUAGAAAAGUUUCUUUAUAUGUGAAAGUGAAAAACAUUUUUUAACAUAAAAACAAUGCUGUAUUUUAGGCAGGUAAUUAAUUAUUUAUGUUAAUUUCAUAAGCUUUGUAGCAUUUGCCAGGCUUAAAAAUUUUAAUUUAUUUUGAUUUAUUUUUCUAAAUACAUAUUAACCUUCAUGCUUAAUAAUGUAUCUGUAAUUUUGUACUACUUAUCUUGAAGAGAGCCCCUCAAAUUGCAUGAGGCCCACGCCUAGAACCCAGCAAAACUCUCUCUGCCUAUUCUUAUAUGAUGAGACUAUCAAAGGAAUGGGAAAGCAGAAAAGUGGCCUGUUUUACAUAGACCUCUUUGCUGGUGCUGAAAAACAGGGAAGGUGUCCUCUUUUUUAGUACCACUUUCAGGGUACUAAAUUCAUAUAUUCUUUGUGAGGGCUUUCAACAAUUCUCUAUGCUAAGAACUCAGCUUUUGGAAUUAGACUGCCUGGGUUUGUGGCUCUACCACUUAAUGGCUACGCAAUCUUGAAAAACUCUAAGUUUUGUCUUUUCUCCAAAUGAAGAUGGAAAUAUAACUAUCUCAUUCAGUUGUUGUGAGGGUUAAAUACACUGAGGAGCUGAAUAUAUAUUUAUUCAAUGAGGGAAAGACAAUAAUUACAAACACCAGGGUCAUGAUAUAGUGAAAAUUCAGGAAGGCUGAAUAGGAGAGAGAUUUAGGAAGGAGGGAUCUGUGCCAAAGAAAAUGUCACAAUACGAGGCAAUGAGAUAAAGAAGGGGGAAGAAUUGUCCUCAAAUGGAAGCCCAUGUUUAUGAGAUUCCUUAUUUCAAACUAUGCCUAAGGACAUUGACCACUAAGUAGUAGACUCUGACAAAACCUCAAAGACUGGGAGACAGUGGUUAGUUCAGGGUGGUUGUGAAUAUUGUAAUUUACAAAUUUUCUAAAUCUGUUGAUUCUUGAGUUCUACACAACAUAGCUGCAGUCUCCAUACCAAUUUUCUCCUUUGGUUGCCAAAUGACUACAUUGUGAUAAACCUCCUUCACUCUCAGAGAAAAGGCAGCCCUUCCUUCACAUUCCCUCAGGUGCGGGAGAGAACACUGGCCAUCAGCCAGCAGUCUGGAGUCUUCCCUGGGCUGAGGGAUACCUUACACAUACUAUUGUGCAACUAUUUCCGGGGGAUACAAUUGAUCCAAAACACCAGGGGAGCAUAUUAAGGAGGACACGUGACUGGUCCCUUUCCUGUCCAAAGCCCACAUCAUGGUUUUUUUUUUUGCAGCCCUUUUGCUAGGAGAGCAGCCCUUCACAAGGAAUAGCCUGUCAUCAAGUCAUUCCCACCAAUAAUAAUAACAAAAAUGACAUCCAAUGUGAUUGAACUAUGAUUAUGUGCCAGUCCCAGGUUUAACUGUUUUAGAUGCACAUAUUGUUCUCUCCUUCUCUCAGGCACCCUCCUUUGGCUUAUAGUGAAAAAGUGGAAGAUUAUAUUUGACAUCUUCCUGAAUUGUUCACUUGUAAGUUCUCAGCAGUGUGCGCUCCUCCCUAAAGCCUCUAUUGCUCAUGAGCCACCAGAACUACUUUUGUUGUCAUUAAACUUUUUAAACACUUAGUAUGUGCAAGGUACUGUUCUAGGAGCUCGAGACACAUUGAUAUACAAAACAAAAUAUGGCAAAUGAAAUUUUGAUUAGGUGCACAUUUGGUAGAUGCUUUCAAAGUAUUAUUUUUAAAUCUAAUUCUCUGUCAAAUUCAUAACUCCCCACAUUCACAUUAAUACUAGUUGGUAUUAAAUUAUGCAUUUAUGUUAAUUUUCAUAUUCCCUUUUACUUGAAACAGUUCUAAUCUGAUAAAUAUAGUUAUAAUUAACAGUAACUUCUGUGUAUAAGAAAUUAGUUUUCAGGUAUGGAUAAGCUUUAAGUUUUUCUUCCAUUUCAUAACCAUGUCACACAGACAUUCCAGAUGGAACCACUAAAAACUUGCUCUACUUAGGAGUCAACUAAUGUGACUUGGAAGAAGGCAAUGAUUCUGGAUAUUCCAUUUUGUAAACUGCUCUAUUCCUUAUAACUGACCAUUACUUUCAGGUUUGUGGACUAUCAGCCUGCAGGCCAAACUUUAAAAAAGAAAUUGCUGGUUGAUACAUUCUUCCAGCCCAUACCAGAGAAAUGUGGAAAAUUGCAAUUUGCUUAAUCAGGUUGGAAAAAUAUAUACAAGCAGAAAUAGCAUGGUUAGAAUUGAUUGUAAACUUUUAUUGCUGUUAAAACUAGUUUUCUUCAGAUUUUUAGAAAGCAGGGCACAUAUCUGAGAGAAGGAAAAAAUGAAGACUGCCAUGGAGUUAACACGAUGAACCUAAUUUUCCAACCCAGAUAAUCGUGCUAAAUUCCUUGUAACAUAGCUAUACUUGGGUGUAAGAAGAAAUUAGGAUUAUAUAUGAAAAGUUAAAACUUCGGCAGAUUCUUGGAAUCCACAUGGGAGGCUGGCUGCAAAGUUAUUGAUCAGUGGAAAUAUGUACACAUACCUUGAAUUCAGCAAAUAAUUUGAUAAAGUGGGUCCAUAUUGUCACUAAGCUGGAGAAAUGUGAGUAGAGUGAGGUGUGAGUUAAGUGAACCUGCCUAACCAUAGUCUGAUAGUCUAUUUGACUUAUAGAUGAUGAGUAAAUAAAUGUUUUCAACUACAUUGAAAUGAAUUGGUCUGUGUUAAUCCAUAUGAAGUGCCGUAGUAAUGCACAUGGCAUCGUUGUAUACCCUAUUUUAUUUAGUAUGCUGAUUGAAGGUCUGUGAAGAUUUCUAGGACCAGCUUGUCAAGCCACAUGCCUUCAGUCAAGUUGUUUUACCAAGUGUUCGCUAAUAGUUAAAUAUAAUAAGACUCUUGCAACCCUAUCCUAUUUGCUGCCUCUGUGGCAUUGAAUCCUGACUGACCUAUUUUUAGAAAAUCCAUCUUCCUUUGGAUUCCAAGAUACUAUUUUUGCAGUUUUCCACUUCGCACUGUGAGUAUUCCCUCUCAUUCACCUCUAAUUUUACUCCUAUUUACCCCUUAAAUCUUCAUCUUCCAUCUUCUUCACAGUUUUACUACUCUGAGUGAUUUUAUUCAUGCUCAUGGCUUUGUAUAUGGUUAUAAUAUGAAACCCUAAAGCUGUAUCUUGAAAAAGUGGCCUAGACCACUUUUCUGGGCCACGAGAACCAUAUGUCCCAUCCCACUCUUGGCAUAUAGACUCCUCUUUUAAUGUAAUUAGUAUUCUGAACUUAUUCAACGUGAGUUAUCUUAACUUCAUUUUCCCAAUCUUGAAGUUUCUGAUAAUUAAAAAAUAUAUUGGCAAUGGACACAGACUUGUUUGAUGUUUUUAUAAUCAUCACACACUAGUUAUACAACCCAAAGCAAAUUAUUUAACCUACUUUUAUUAGUUUUCUACUGCUGCAUAACAGAUUACCACAAGCAAGCGUGCCUUGCUCACCCUUCACUUUCUGCCAUGAUUGUAAAUUUCCUGAGGCCUUCCCAGAAGCCAAGCAAAAGCCAUUACGCUUCCUGUAUAGCCUGUGGAACUGUGAGCCAAUUAAACCUCUUUUCUUUAUAAAUUACCCAGUCUCAGGUAUUCCUUUCUAGCAAUGGAAGAACAGACUAAUACAGCUGUAUUGAAGGUUUCAGCCAGGAAUGAGUUUUCAUCAGCUUCCCACCUGGGGAAAGAUCUACUUCCAGGUUCCCUCAAGUUGUAAUAAAAUAUUGCAUAACUUGUUUGCAUUUAUUUAUACAAUGAGAUUAGAUACAAGACUCAGGUAAUUAUAAACAGGUACUUUGCCUGCAUGCAUAUUUGGUGUGAUAUUCAGAAGUCCUGGCAUGCGGGCCAAUUCUGUAUUAUACAAGAUUGUUCCAGGCAUCUUUUGUCUCCCCACACAUUAAAUAUCAUUAGUGUCUUCUAUUCAUUAUGAUAACUAGAAAUGUUUCCAGAAAUUUUAAGAACACCCCUUGUAAUAUUGCCCUCUUAAUAGUCCCCACAUGAGGGGUUUAAAAUAUCAUUCCUACCAAAUAUGAAUUUUGUGCAGAAAUUGAUAGAAACAUUGAACUAUUCAUCCACUUAUUCAUUCAAUAUAUUAUUAUUGAGUACUUCCAUGUGGAAGACACUGUUCUAGGUGUUGCCUUAUUCACAGUCAUGAACACAGAGGUGAAAAAGACAGCAUCGAAUUUUCUCUCAUGGAGUUAAUAUAAAAUAAUAGAAGAGAUCUCGAGAGUGGAUAUUGAUCAGUUACUACUCUUCUUUGCUUCAAAAACAAACCUGUUUAAAACUGUAGAACUUAGUUACCUGAACUGUCUUAUUCUUUAACUCCCAUUACCUAAACCAUUUUUUUUUACUCCUCAUUCAAAGUUCAGUUGAUCAGGCAAUAUUCUAUGGAAAAUAAGCAUGUCUACUAUGCAAUAUAUUUCUCAAAAAUAUUGUCACAAACUUCCUUUUUAAGAUUCCAAUCCUUUCUUUUUUUUAAUUGACAAAUAAUAAUUGUACGUAUUCAUGGAAUACAUAGUGAGGUUUUGAAAUAUAUAAUGUAUGGUGAUCAGGCCAGGGUAAUUUGUAUUUCCAAUCAAGCUAGAUUACUGACUAUUCCAUGAACCAUUCUUAAACUUUUCCACCUCUAUGCCUUUUACACUGCCAUCAUGAUCUAGAGAGCUCCUUCUCAGUCUCUCACAUUUUUAUUUAAAUUCUAUCCCUCUUUUAAAACUCUUCCAUAAAGAUAUUUUGAUUUAUCAAAACAGAGGUGAUGUUUGAUGCAUUCUACUUUUAAGGAGAUUAAAUGAAGUAAUGCCUAGUGCUUUACAGAAAAUAAGUAAUGAAUUAAUGUUAGUUACUAUUAUUAUUACUAAUGAUACUAAGUUAGAAAUGGUUUCUGUUUUUGUAAAGUUUGCAACCUAGAGAAGAAGAUGUUCGUGUGUAACAAGCCAACUCUAGCAAUGAUAAAUGUUCGAACGGGAUUUUUGUGAUAUGGGAAUAUGUAGAUGUGUUCAGAAAAUAUUUGCUGAACUAUUAUGGUUACUUGAAUGUUCUUAAAGAGCAUUACCUAGAAAAAAGCACAGGAUAAGAACAGAGGGUGGAAUCUAUGCCAAUUCUUCUGAAUAGAUUUAACAUUUUGUUACCUUUAGAGGUAAAGAUCUAUUACCUAAGGCAGAGUAAUUCAGUGUAGGCAAUGGCAGUUAGAUAUCUGUUGACUUUAUCAUCUGCUCCAUCACAGCUACUGAGUGUACAACAUACACUGAUGUAAAUCAUGUUUAUGUUUUUAUUACUUUUUCCACUCCUCUCUAGUACUGGCAUCAAAAAGGGAUUUACAAGGUUUAGCCCUCCCAUAGUCUCCCUAAGGCCUCUCCAAAACUGCCUCAAAUUAAAUUCAAUCUAAGUGAAGGCAUGUCCUGCUAUUCAAUUGCGGUUCCCAGACCAGUCCUCCAGCCUCACCCUUCCAACCUAUUUGCUGCCCUAAUUCUCUCUUAUGCAGACAUUUUGGGGUUGCCACCUACCUCUUUACUCCUCCCUCUCUGCCCAUGCCCUAUAAUCACUCUCCCGAUUUCUACAGAUUAUAUGCAUAUCCUUAUGGAAUGUUUCAUAUAUUUGCAUAUCUUCUGCCCCCAUCAACUUUAGUAAUUACAGUUUUAUGCUUAGGAGAUGCAUUUCUUCCUAUUAGAGAAUCUUCAGAGCACAGGUGUGGAGAUAACACUGACCUCUUGAAUUUUAUGAUUAAAACCGUAAUGUUUUCAUGUUGAUAAAUUACAGAUAUAGCAAGGCAUUUUCCUUUCCCAUCAGGAUUUCUGUUUGGGCAUAGUAAAACUGCAAAACAGGAAGAAACAGUCAGCAUAAUAAUUUUUUCUUGUUGGUUGAUUUUCCACAUCAGGGAUAUGCACUAGCAGGAAUUGAAAUAAAAACAUUAACUUUAUUUUAAAAUAAGGGAAUAGAUAAAGCAAGAUCUUAGUGUUAUGUAAAAAAAUGCAUUAAUGCCAGGGAUGGUUCUAUUGUGUCAUCUCUAAGUAUUUAUAGUUUGUUGAUUUUGUUGACACACAAGUUCAAAGAUUAUAUAAUGCCUAAGUUUGAUGAGACAUUAAUGAUGGUCACCCUUCUGGCAAUACUAUCAUUGAACUUGUUAAGAGUAGCAAAGGAUUUGUCAUUAAAUCUCUCAGAAGGUACAAAGGACCCCUGAUAGGAAAACAGGGAGAGGAGGGGCUGUGUCUGGGAGAAUGGGUAAUGAUUACAAUUGACUAAAAUUUGGAAGAAACAAGAACAACCACAACACUUUGCUCCUUCAGAUUACCAAGCAAUAGAUUUCUUGUAACAUUUUCAGAGAAUCUCUCUGGCCCAGAAUUUUAAGAAAAAGCUUAAAAAGAAAGUUCCACAAAAAUGAAUGUGUGCUGCUAGAACAAGAGAUUUUGGGGUGGUAGUCAUUAUAAUAAAUAAUUAUAAUAAUAACAAUUACAAUAGUAUAUGGGGCAGACAACAUACACAUACGGCAAUAUAAAAACAGACUAUCAGAGAAGGUAAAUGGCUAAUGAUGGUAGCUAAGAAUUAUUUAGCACCUAGUGAAUGCUUUUAUGUUCACUGCUUAUCCAUACAACAAACUAAAAAGAUAAUAAACAAUCAGCAGAGGCAAAGUUUAAAACAAAAGCAGUCUGGCUCUGGCCCAUGCUCUUCCUCACUAUGUAUCGCUGCCUCUCCUGCAUAUUGUAUUGUAGUUGUCUGUGGAUCUUUCUUAUGUAUCUAUAUCUUUCAUCAGUUUACAAGCUUCAUAAAAGCAGGUACUCAGUCUGUCUAGUUUAUCACUGAGUCCCUAAUACAUAGCCCAGUGCUAGACAGAACCUAGCUCAGUGCUAGAUGGGUAUCCAGAAAAUACUUAUGGAAUGCCCAGUGUCAAUCAGCAAAACUAAAUCAAAUUAGGCAUUUUGGGAUUUAAAGACUGAAGGAGGAAAAGGACAUAAUGUCCUUGUUCAUUCUUUCCUUUGAAAAACUUAUUUCCUUCAUGUUUUGCUAUUGUAUACUAAUAGUAAGAAGUAAAAUCAAUUGAAGAAUGCAAAGUCAACAAAAGCAUUGCCAAUGGCAAGCAGAAGGCAGUGGACUCAGAUGAGAAAAAAGAGAGAAAAGUUUUCUCAAAAGCUUUUACUAUAUGACUAUUAGCUUCUUAAAAGGUUCAGGGAUAUGUCUAUGUAUGGUAGAAGUUAAAUUUGAAAAGAAGCUUCCCGAAUUCUGAAUAUUUGUUCCAUUUCAAUUACAAUGUUGUUUGUAAGAAUAAGAGUAAAUAAACUGUAUUGAAACAUGAAGUGCAAAUUCCUCUUGGACUUUAGUCUCCCAUAUUCUUCUCUAAAAGAAAAAGUUGUACAAACUGGAUUAGAACAAUCAACCCUAAUUAUUUAUGUGCAGGAUUUGUUUCUAGGACACCCCUGUGAGGGAUCCAGAAACAGCACAUCUCACCCAAACAUUUUAAAAUUGUACCAAUCUACAGGUAUGAAUGGGGUCAGUUCAUAUUAAUACUUCAGCUUUCCUAUUCUAAUCCCAUGUAGGAAUUUUAAUACCUUUAAAGAUUUCACUGUCCCACAAAUGUUUUUGAAAAUAAUGAAGAGUUUCUUACAAAUUUUAUAAAUUAAUGGAGGUUGCUACUAUGUCAUUUCAUUUGCGUUUCUGAUGCAGUUCCUCAGCCUCUUCAGUUUCUAAAUGCUCUUAAACUUCAUAGUGCUAUAAAAUUUGGCAGUAGUCUGUGAGGGCAAAAGAUAUACAUAUAUAAUUCAUAUAUAUGUAUAU